rnacentral:tRNA from 1 species
CCGAACCAGCGUCCAUUGUCUAAUGGAUAGGACAGAGGUCUUCUAAACCUUUAGUAUAGGUUCAAAUCCUAUUGGACACGC